GCGUCACAGACAGACAGGCAGACAGACAGGUCGCAGCGUCACAGCCCUGUGUGUCGGUCGGGACCUAGCGUUAGCUGCGGUGUAAGCUGCGGGGGAGAGGCGGUUCUUGAAGGCGUGGAAACCCACUUGACGUUACCGAUAACGGGAUAUCGAUCCCAAGUGAUCGGUGCCGAUGAAACGACCCGUCUCGUGUGGACCCGGAGGAGAAGAAGAGACUUUUACAGUCACACGGUUCUUCAGAUACAACCGGAAGGACCCACCAGAGCCCGGAUGUGUGGACUAACGUCUUGAAGAGGACUUUGUAGAGGGAGACGGACCCGAACGGAGCCGAGCGACACCGAGCGGGUCCGAGUGAGCGAAGCGUUUUUAACGGAGUUGUCUGGAGGAAACGUUUCUGUGAGCUCGUGAAGAUGUCUAAAGUCCAACAGCUGAGAUGUUUAGUCAACCAGCGACUAACUGCGGCUGCGCAAGAGAUCUUUGGGCUGUUUGAAAGAACGAUAGCAGAGUACGAGGAGGAACUUUGUAGUUCCAGAGAGGAGAACGAGCGACACCGGAAACGACUGGACGCUGUGUUCAACCCGGAAGUCCGGUUACACAGAGCAGAGGACCCAGAGCCCCCC